GAUUGCCUCAAAUCAAACAAGAUCACCUGCUGAACUUAAGCAUAUUAAUAAGCAGAGGAAAAGAAACUAACAAGGAUUUCCCUAGUAAUGGCGAAUGAAAAGGAAAUAGCCCACAUGUGAAAUCAGUUUGAGAGGAAAAAUUUAUUUUUCUGUCUUUAAUUGAUGUUGUACUGUAUUACUUUCACAAUUGUAUCGUACAAUCUCUUUUUCCUAAAGUCUACUGAAAUGUAGCACCAUAGAGGGUGAUAGUCCUUUGUAGGAAAAAAGUAGUGGAUGUAUGUUCAUGUGAUUGUUUAAAGAGUAGUAUUGUUUGGGAUUGCAAUGCGAAGAUUUUACAAGGGUGGUAGUCUCCAUCUAAGGCUAAAUAAAGGCAAGAGACCGAUAGCAAACAAGUACCGUGAGGGAAAGAUGAAAAGAACUCUGAAGAGAGAGUGAAAAGUAUGUGAAAUUGUCAAAAGGGAAGCAUUUGAAGGGGUAAAAUGUAUUUUAAAUGGAGUGGGGGUUGAUUGGGGUGAAGAGAAAGGGAGCAAUUUCAAUCUUUUCAUUCAUGAUGGACCCAGGAAAGCUUUUUAUUCCAGUGUGGUUGGACAAUUUAUUUUGCAUAGUCACAAGGAAUUUAUAAAAGGUCACUCUAAAUUUUGAUUUAAAAACCUCUUUAAAUGACCCGUCUUGAAACACGGACCAAGGAGUGCAACACAAGUGCAAGUUUAAAAGUUCAAAAACUGAUCAUUUUAAGCAAAGGGAAAGCAAAAGAGAAGGAGAGGGAGAAAGAGGGGGGUGACCCAAUUUUUCUUUUUUCUCCUUCUCAAAUGAAAAUGAACGCUUCACRCGUGUGCUGCGUGCAAUUUCACUGAACUUUUUUCUAAAGUUCAAGUAGAGCAUUUUUGUUGCGACCCGAAAGAUGGUGAACUAUGCCUGUAUAGAAUGAAGCCAGAGGAAACUCUGGUGGAAGUUCGUAGCGAUUCUGACGUGCAAAUCGAUCGUCAAAUAUGGGUAUAGGGGCGAAAGACUAAUCGAACCAUCUAGUAGCUGGUUUCCACUGAAGUUUCCCUCAGGAUAGCAGAAAUGGGAAGAUUUGUUUUUUUUAUUAGUUUUAUGAGGUAAAGCGAAUGAUUAGAAUGGUUGGGGAUUUAAAUUUGAUCUCUGCCUUAUUCUCAAACUUUGAAUGUGUAAACAGGAAGAGCAGAAAUCAUUUAUUUUAUUUCGCUCUUUGAUAUUAAAGAAAUAAAUCCAUUUCUAGUGGGCCAUUUUUGGUAAGCAGAACUGGCGAUGUGGGAUGAACCAAAAGCAAAGUUAAAGAGCCUAAAUACAUGCUUAUUUUGAUACCAUAAAAGGUGUUAUCUCAUCUAGACAGCAGGGCAGUGGCCAUGGAAGUCGGCAUCUGCUAAGGAGUGUGUAACAACUCACCUGCCGAAUGAAAUAGCCCUGAAAAUGGAUGGCGCUUCAGCAUGUUUCUUAUACUUUGCUGUGGGGAUAAAUUGUUUGUAGAUAUCCCCACAUGUAAGUGGACGUGAAGGCUAUGUUUCAAAUGAAAGAGAAAUCUUGYAUUUCCAUUUCAUUGUAUCAUGUGAUAAAGCAUACACGUGAGUGUGUGUGAAACAGCCUUUAGUGCAGAUCUUGGUGGUAGUAGCAAUGAUUCAAAUGAAAACUUUGAAGACUAAAGUGGAGAAGGGUUCCAUAUCAACUGUAUUUGUAUAUGGGUAAGUCGGUCCUAAGGGUAUAGUUCAAUGACUAUAUAACAAAUUUGUGUUGUACUGUUUUUUUUUUUGGUCUUUUUUUUUUAAAAGAGAUCAUUGCAAAAACAAACACUGACCCGAAAGGGAAUUUGGUUUAAAUUCCAAAACCUGAUUUAGAGCGUGAUUAAAGUGAUAUUGGUGACAAAUAUGAACUUGGUGAUUCGUCAUCCAUUGGCCUAGAAAGAGUUUUCUUUUCUUUUUAACUUGGCAAUGUUUUAAUUUUUUCGCAAGAGAAAAUGACACAAAAAACAUCACUAUGAAAUCAAUUUAGUUGGUGAAGUAGUCAUGUGCCAGGAAGAGCAGAUGUAUUUUUUAUAUCUGUCUGGAGCCCAGUGGGUGGCCCUUGAAAAACCAAGGGAAUGUGGUUGGGUGAGAUGAGAAACUUUUCUUAUCUUGUUUAGCUAAUUUCACGUCUCAUCAGUCCGUACCCAUAUCCGCAUCAGGUCUCCAAGGUGAAUAGCCUCUAGUUGAUAGAAGAAUGUAGAUAAGGGAAGUCGGCAAAAUAGAUCCGUAACUUUGGGAAAAGGAUUGGCUCCUAUAGUUGGGUUGAGAAAGAGAGAGUAUCACUUUUUCUUUCUCAUUAAGGUUUGGGUGUAUGAAAUUUAUUUUUCAUUUUAAAAAAGCACCUUUCCUCGUAUCAACUGAAUAGGAACUGAAACGGACUAGAGGAAUCUGACUGUCUAAUUAAAACAUAGCUUUGUGAUAGUAAUAAGAUUACAUUUCCACAAAGUGAUUUCUGCCCAGUGCUCUGAAUGUUAAAGAAAAAGAAAUUUUCCCAAGCGCRGGUAAACGGCGGGAGUAACUAUGACUCUCUUAAGGUAGCCAAAUGCCUCGUCAUCUAAUUAGUGACGCGCAUGAAUGGAUAAACGAGAUUCCUACUGUCCCUAUCUACCAUCUAGCGAAACCACAGCCAAGGGAACGGGCUUGGCAAUUGAAAUAGGGGAAAGAAGACCCUGUUGAGCUUGACUCURGUUUGGAAUCUGAGAAAGAGCAUUUCGGUUGCAGCAUAAGUGGGAGUUGGGAAAGCAAUUUCUUGACGCUCUUGAGAUACCACUACCUUAAUUGCUUUUUUUCUAAAAUGAUCAUAAUGGAAGAAGAGUGUCUAUAACUUGGUUUAUAACACGUGCAUUAAGUGAGAGGGAGGUAUUCCUUUCUUUCUCAUGACCAAUUUGACUAGAAUAUUUAUUCUAGAUUUCAUUGAAACCUCCAGAUGGGGAGUUUGGCUGGGGCGGCACAUUUGCUAAAUCAUAACGCAAGUGUCCUAAGGGCAACUCAUUGAGAACAGAAAUCUCAUGUGGAAUAAAAGGGUAAAAGUUGCCUUGAUYUUUUGAUUUUCAGUAAAAAUACAAACCAUGAAAGUGUGGCCUAUCGAUCCUUUAAAUAAUUUAAAAGUAGCGAGAUAAUGUAUCAUCUACUUAGGGGUGUCAGAAAAGUUACCACAGGGAUAACUGGCUUGUGGCAGCCAAGCGUUCAUAGCGACGUUGCUUUUUGAUCCUUCGAUGUCGGCUCUUCCUAUCAUAUUGCCGCAACUGUCAAUAAGUGUUGGAUUGUUCACCCAUUAAAAGGGAACGUGAGCUGGGUUUAGACCGUCGUAAGACAGGUUAGUUUUACCCCUAUUUCGUUUAUAAUUAUUCACAUGAUAUCAUCACAGUACCUUCAUGAGAGGAAUUCAAUAUAGUACGAGAGGAACUAUUGAAUCACAUCCUUGGUAUUUACAGUUGGUUGAAAAGCCAGUGCUGUAAAGCUAACA
rnacentral:rRNA from 1 species